rnacentral:lncRNA from 1 species
AGAUGCGUAAAUGUUUACAAGAACAGUAUGAGGAGAAAUGUCGAAGAUUGACGGAACAGUUCCGUGAUGUUGGUUUUGCCAAAGAAUCUGAGAAUACACCUUUAUAAAACAUUCCGUUCACUUUUCUACAUUCCUGUCAUACUAUAUGCAUGUCAUUACCAUGACAACAAUCAUGUGACAUUGGUACCUGAUCUCAUGUUAACCUACAAAUAACUGUUUUUUAAUGUGUUGUAAAAAUAGAUGGAACCAUGUGAUAAACACUCUAAACCAUGUGACCUAUUAUGUAAUUAGCAACUUUUUAUGUAAUGGUUUUUAAAUGUCUGUGCUGUUACCAUGGUAAUCAUUGCCUCUGUGUGAUAUGCACAAUAAAACCGUGAUACAAUGGCACAAUGAAUGCAAUGGUCAGUGGAUUUUGAAUAACAUUCUUAACAUGUAAUGAAGGUCAUCUUUAUUAAAAGAAAACCUUGUCUUGUCUGAUGGUCAAUGGAUUUUGAAUAACAGUCUAAACUGUGAUGACGGUCACCUUUAUUUAAAAAAAAAAAUGCUGUCUUGUCUGGUCACUUUCUACUUUGUCCAGCUGUAAUAAAACCUAUGCAUUUUGAACUUCUUUAAUUUUUCUUCAUUUGGAAGCUCUCCACUUGGAAAAAAAAAACUUUCAUAAUUGUUGAAUUUCCAUCUUUACCUUCACUUUAUUUGUAUGUUUACUAUUUUAUAAACUAAUGUGUUAACUUGGCUGUGAAAUUGAGUUUUAUAUCAUGGAGCAUUACCAUUUCUGUGUUUUUCUGUGAUAUCAUAGUUUUUCAAAAUAUCUGUUGUCAGCGUGUGUAUAGACCUUUAUAUGACCUUUUGAAGAUGACAACAUCAUUGACAGGUCCCUACUGGGCUCCUUGAACAGUUAUCAUGACUUUUUGGUGUCAUUAAAUUAGUUUUACUUAAUUUAAAUUUUUGAUAAUAAUAAUUUUUAUCAAUGUCAAUAAAAAUCUUUACAAUUCUCAUUCUAGGCAGCUGGCUUGCUAACGGUUAGGGUUUGGAAAGCUCUGAUAAAAUAUAUAUACAUUAUACAUAUAUUAAAUUGGCAAAUGUAUAAGAUUUGAAUAAAUAUUUAUGAAAAUAAUCAAUGACAAAAUUAGUCAUUUCAGUAGCUAUACCUGCAUUACUGUAAGAUAUUUUAUAUUGUGGGAUGACGUGGGGUGCUUAAUUCUUAAAUCCCCUUUUCUUUGUUUUUUCCAACUUCCAACUUUUUUCCUUUUUUCCCAGAACCUCUUUUUUUGUUUGUAUCCUCUAUAUCUGACAACCCCCUUUGCCCUUAAAUCCCACAUCCUAAAAGGGUGUCAUCCCCCGUGAUCAAAUUGCUUGAUUUGAUGUUACAUUGAAUAACAGACAUUGCAUUAGGAAAAAGAUUCAGGGACAAAUAUAAUGCAAUAAAUAUUUUUUUGGAAAAAUGAUACAUUACAACAAAUAUUCAUUUUCUAUCAGUUUGUGCCUAAAAUAAAUUAUAAGCAUGUUCAUUGGCCAAUGUAGUAAUAUCACAUAAUUUUGUGUAUAGGAAACUUAUAUAUACCAUGUCAAAUGUAACCAAAAUGUAAUAUGCGAUAUUCCAAGUUAUUGCACCAGUGCUAAAAUAGCUUGAAAAGGGUGACUGAUGUUUAGUGUAGAGAGUUUCUCUCAUUUUAAAAUUUUUGUCAAAUAGUAAAAAGGUUUGAUGCAAGAAUAUUGGCAAAUAUUAUCUGUAAUGCAAUAUUUAUUGCACCUAGAAGCUUGUGCAAUAACAUAUUCCACUUGAGACAAUAUUAACCAAUAAUUUUAUGUUAUUAGUAGUAAUAAAUUAUAGAAAUAUUCAGUAAGAAUUAGUUUGUAUUUGUGUUAUAAUGUAAAAAUGUUUGUAUUCCGUGUUCAAAUUUA